CUCAGCCCCUUGUGUUACCCAGCCACCCCCACCGCACCUAUAUUUCUCAUCCCUUCAUCUUCCCUUUUUCGUUUCACAUUUUGCGGCCUCGCUCUCUGUGCGGAGCCUCCUGGGAAGGAAGGGUGGGGGAGUAGGAAUGAGAGAGGGAGAGAGAGAGAAGGACCAGGUGAUUCACAGCAUGUCCAGGGUGUCUCCCGUCUCUUGCCCAAUGUGAGCUGGGAUUGGCUCCAGCCCACCCAGGACUCUCAAAGUGAUACAUGGAGGCGGGGUUUAUGACCUGUACUGCAGCCAACCACCA